rnacentral:rRNA from 1 species
UACGUAGGGUGCAAGCGUUGUCCGGAAUUAUUGGGCGUAAAGAGCUCGUAGGCGGUUUCGUAAGUCGGAUGUGAAAACUCCAGGCUCAACUUGGAGACGCCAUUCGAUACUGCGAUGACUUGAGUCCGGUAGGGGAGUGUGGAAUUCCUGGUGUAGCGGUGAAAUGCGCAGAUAUCAGGAGGAACACCGGCGGCGAAGGCGGCACUCUGGGCCGGUACUGACGCUGAGGAGCGAAAGCGUGGGGAGCAAACAGG